CACUCGUUCUGUCUUGUGGGUUUUAUCAGAGCGGAAGGGAAAUAGCGAGCGCAGCCGAGAGCGGCAGACUGGGCGAACUGCGAUGAACAGGCGAGCUCUAAUAAAGUAUGUGACAUCGCGCGUCGGAGGGGCCAGGAUGGGGCUUUGCAAUGUGCGCUGCUACAAGGAGCGUUGAGAUUAUUCUUCCGCAGGCAUUACGUUUCACCGUUUUUGUCAUCAGACAUUGCAGCACGUCAUACCUACGACAGAUGGUGGUGCCUGCCUUGUGCUGAGGACCUUCCAAGGUGGCCUGGGCAGUUACCGUACUUUUUGACGUAGGAGCUGCCAAGGCGUCCUGUCCCUUUCACGUGAACAGUGGCCAGCACUGGAAGAAGCAAUCUUUGGACUGCUGUAAUGCAUUCUUUGGGCAAGUAAAUAAAUUGCUUUGAAUCAGAGACCUGGUGUUUGCACAGCCGCUCCACAGA